rfam:Neotoma lepida isolate 417 scaffold_10505, whole genome shotgun sequence.
UUACCAGCCAGGCUCCUGGCUAAAUUCCAGGUCUUAGCUGGAUUUAGGCAAAGCUUGGCUGUAAC